CCCGACUCAGAAUCGUACCUGGAGAGUUUCCAGUACUCUACCAGUUUUGGCUAUGGGAGGGAGAGUCAAGCAGAGGCAUAGCCAUUCCAUUCCUAGCUUGCACAGUGGCUAGUGAGUGGAAAGCAAUCUGCUACAAGU